ACUCUCUAUGAUAGUGGUGGUAAAUCGGCUGCUGCUGCUGCUGCUUUCCGUUAGCACCUUAUGGCCACCUCUAGUAGUACGCUGGUAGUGUGUGUUCCAUUGCCAUUCAUUUCGCCAUUUUGGUGCAUCAACAAGGGGUCGUGGGCGUGGGCGGUGGCAGAGGAUAAGGCGGCGGCGACGAAGUAGAAGACGCAGGAGGCGGCGGCAAGAGCAAGAACAAGAGCAAGAACAAGAAGAAGCGGAGAAACUGCCGCGGGCAACAAAAAACCAGAAGCAGCGAAAGCAGCAGCAGGCGAUAAACGAAUAACGGGAAAAAACGCGAUAACCAAAAAACACGAAACGUGCUCGAGAACUCGCUCCUCAAAAAAACUAAUCUACAAAUUUUAAUGAAUUAAUUAACUUUUUUUUUUGGUAGAAAUUAAUUUUUUUUGUGAAAAAAAAAAAUAAAUACAAAUAAAAAGUGCGGCAAAAACUCGUUACUCGUAACUACGAAUUGGAAAAUAAAUUAAAAAAGAAAACGCAUAAAGAUACAUAAAUCUGUGUUGUCGAAACAGUGACCGGAAAAUAAAAAUGUGACAAAAAAUGAAAUUAGAAAAAUAAAAAUGCAAUAAAUAAAAUGCAAACUGCAGCAACCGGACAUCAACUCUAAAAGUUAUACAACAAAUCAAUAUCCAGAGCCUGACAGAAAAAUCCAAAAAUCCAAAACGUCUUCGAAAGGAGGGAAAGUAGGAAAGCCAGAGAACCGAUUGCCAAAUGGCCAGAGUUUGCUGGGAAAGGGAAACA